rnacentral:rRNA from 1 species
AAUUUUGCUCAAUGGGCGCAAGCCUGAAGCAGCGACGCCGCGUGAAUGAUGAAGUCUUUCGGGAUGUAAAGUUCUGUCAACAGGGACAAUGAUGAUGGUACCUGUGGAGGAAGCACCGGCAAACUAUGUGCCAGCAGCCGCGGUAAUACAUAGGGUGCAAGCGUUAUCCGGAUUUACUGGGCGUAAAGCGUAUGUAGGCGGCAUUUUAAGUCAAACUUCAAAUCCCGGGGCUCAACCUCGGUUCGGGUUUGAGACUGGAAUGCUAGAGUUUGGGAGAGGAAAGCGGAACUAACAGUGUAGCGGUGAAAUGCGUAGAUAUUGUUAGGAACACCCGUGGCGAAGGCGGCUUUCUGGAUCAAUACUGACGCUGAGAUACGAAAGCGUGGGGAGCAA